AUUGAACGCUGGCGGCAGGCCUAACACAUGCAAGUCGAGCGGCAGCGGGAAAGUAGCUUGCUACUUUUGCCGGCGAGCGGCGGACGGGUGAGUAAUGCCUGGGAAAUUGCCCAGUCGAGGGGGAUAACAGUUGGAAACGACUGCUAAUACCGCAUACGCCCUACGGGGGAAAGCAGGGGACCUUCGGGCCUUGCGCGAUUGGAUAUGCCCAGGUGGGAUUAUCUAGUUGGUGAGGUAAUGGCUCACCAAGGCGACGAUCCCUAGCUGGUCUGAGAGGAUGAUCAGCCACACUGGAACUGAGACACGGUCCAGACUCCGACGGGAGGCAGCAGUGGGGAAUAUUGCACAAUGGGGGAAACCCUGAUGCAGCCAUGCCGCGUGUGUGAAGAAGGCCUUCGGGUUGUAAAGCACUUUCAGCGAGGAGGAAAGGUUGGUGCCUAAUACGUAUCAACUGUGACGUUACUCGCAGAAGAAGCACCGGCUAACUCCGUGCCAGCCGCCGCAGUAACAC
rnacentral:rRNA from 1 species